rnacentral:lncRNA from 1 species
AUGAAGCCACCAAGGGAGCUUAGGUACAGGGUCCUGGUUUGGUACCUGUCUGAAGAACCACCUUUCUGCUCUGUGGGGAAUCACUGGCACAGUGAAAGGUCUGAGAAAGAGACAGGGAGUCAGGUGCCUUUCUCUCCCCCCCUGCAACAGAAACAGCAACAGCCUAAGCUUUCCACACUGUAUGGAGUUACUCCAUUCCAUGCUCUCUUCCAAGGACUUCCACCUAUUUAUGCAGCGAAAAGCAAACAGAAGUCCUCAAUGUGCUUUAAUGACGUCAUUGCACAGGCCAGCAGCUCUAGCAUGAAACUUUCCUCUGCAAAGCAAAUUGAGUUGCAGAGACUUACUCAUCUUCCCCAACUUCACGUGCUUUAAGAUUUCCAUAAAGCCGAGAACAUCUGUAUGAAGACUCUGUCCUUGAUGGAGAUAACUGUCAACACCAAGUCACAUGUUAUUCCACAUGAGGACAGGCACUGUCAUCUUAAUCCAGUUUUGUAUACCACAAAUUGAUUUCUCUGCAGGAGAGGAACAGUUGUUAAGUGUUAUGUACUCUUUCAUGUUGGAGCUGCCCCUUUUACCUUCCCAUUGAAAAGUAUCCUCAGUUAAUCCAGGUUAUGAAUCAAGCCUCUUAUUAGUCUCACCAUACUGCUCUGCACAAGUAUGACUAAUGCUUGCCCUUUAAACAUCCUGUGACACUUCUAACAAACUUGUUUGGAACUGACCAAAUUCAGUUGAGGAAAGUCAAGACUGAGUAGGACACAGAUAACAAAGCUCUGGAUUUGUUCUGUUCCCUUCUCAUUCAAUUCUAGGGUUACGUAGGUCUGGCAGCUCCCAAAAACUGGCAGAGUGGGGAUUCCUGCAGGGAUGUCAGCAGGGUAGCAGGGGAGGGCCAGAGGAAGCCUGUCCUGGAGUCCUGCAAGGCAGGGCACAGGGAGCAGGGCUGCUGUAGUUGUCUAUGUGCUGCACAGACACACGCAGGCAGCCCCUACCUAGGCUGAAAUGUUACUGUCCUCAGUGUGGUGCAUGGCUUUCAGGAAAUACAACAGGACCUGGAUGUGGAUAAAUCCUACAGAGAUUCUCCAGCCCCUGCCUUUUUAU